rnacentral:rRNA from 1 species
AGCCUGAACGCUGGCGGCGUGGCUAAGACAUGCAAGUCGUACGGUGUAGCAAUACACAGUGGCGAACGGGUGAGUAAUGUAUCGCUAACGUGCCCCGGACUUUGGGAUAGCUACCCGAAAGGGUAGGUAAUACCAGAUGAUAUAACUUUUCCGCAUGGAAAGGUUCUCAAAGGUCCGCCGGUCUGGGAGCGGGCGAUAUCGUAUCAGCUAGUUGGUGAGGUAACGGCUCACCAAGGCGACGACGCGUAGCCGGACUGAGAGGUUGGCCGGCCACAUUGGGACUGAGACACUGCCCAGACUCCUACGGGGGCUGCAGUAACGAAUCUUCCGCAAUGCACGAAAGUGUGACGGAGCGACGCCGCGUGUGGGACGAAGUUCUUCGGAAUGUAAACCACUGUCAGGGGUUAGAAAGUUCUGAUCAACCCCAGAGGAAGGCACGGCUAACUCUGUGCCAGCAGCCGC